GUCCAGCUGACAAGUUCCGAAUAGAACAAAAUGCGCGUCCUGGAU
rnacentral:hammerhead_ribozyme from 1 species